AGAGAGGAGGACAGAGAACAGUGGACACACAGUUUAACAUGAUGGACUAUAGGACAGGACUGCUGCUUUUAACUCUCUGCUGUGCAGGUGUUGAUGGUCAGACUUUGACAGAAUCUGAACCAGCGACUAAAAAACCUGGAGAUUCCCACAGAUUGACCUGUACAACAUCUGGAUUGUCAUUUAGUAGUUACUAUAUGGCCUGGAUCAGACAGGCUCCCGGAAAAGGACUGGAGUGGAUUGCAAGCAUCCACAGUACUAACAUUUACUACUCUCAGUCAGUUCGAGGCCGGUUUACCAUCUCCAGAGACGACAGCAGAGAGCAGCUGUAUCUGCAGAUGAACAGUCUGAAGACUGAAGAUUCUGCUGUUUAUCAUUGUGCUCGAGACCCACAGUGACUCGACUUAAUUGAGCAGCUGUACAAAAUCCUACAGUAAUUUUUCUGUGGCUGAUGAAACCAAAUAAUGAAGAUGAUAUAUGAACGUAAUAUUUAUUUAAUUUAUUUUGUACA